rnacentral:rRNA from 1 species
UGAGGAAUAUUGGUCAAUGGACGAGAGUCUGAACCAGCCAAGUAGCGUGAAGGAAGAAGGCGCCAGGCGUCGUAAACUUCUUUUGUCGGGGAACAAAGGGCGCCACGCGUGGCGUUGUGAGUGUACCCGAAGAAAAAGCAUCGGCUAACUCCGUGCCAGCAGCCGCGGUAAUACGGAGGAUCCGAGCGUUAUCCGGAUUUAUUGGGUUUAAAGGGAGCGUAGAUGGGUUGUUAAGUCAGUUGUGAAAGUUUGCGGCUCAACCGUAAAAUUGCAAUUGAUACUGGCAGCCUUGAGUACAGUUGAGGUAGGCGGAAUUCGUGGUGUAGCGGUGAAAUGCUUAGAUAUCACGAAGAACUCCGAUUGCGAAGGCAGCAUACCGGCGCCCAACUGACGCUGAAGCACGAAAGCGUGGGUAUCGAACAGG